CUGCCUACACAUGCAAGUCGAACGAUGCUUUCGGGCAUAGUGGCGCACGGGUGCGUAACGCGUGGGAAUCUGCCCUUAGGUUCGGAAUAACAGCGAGAAAUUGCUGCUAAUACCGGAUGAUGACGUAAGUCCAAAGAUUUAUCGCCUAGGGAUGAGCCCGCGUAGGAUUAGCUAGUUGGUGUGGUAAAGGCGCACCAAGGCGACGAUCCUUAGCUGGUCUGAGAGGAUGAUCAGCCACACUGGGACUGAGACACGGCCCAGACUCCUACGGGAGGCAGCAGUGGGGAAUAUUGGACAAUGGGCGCAAGCCUGAUCCAGCAAUGCCGCGUGAGUGAUGAAGGCCUUAGGGUUGUAAAGCUCUUUUACCCGGGAUGAUAAUGACAGUACCGGGAGAAUAAGCCCCGGCUAACUCCGUGCCAGCAGCCGCGGUAAU
rnacentral:rRNA from 1 species